rnacentral:misc_RNA from 1 species
UUUCUUUUCAAUUCCGAUUUACGUAGACAGACCUCAAACUAGAACACCCGCGAAAAGCCACCAUUACAAGAACUUUAGCGCAUCUGCAUGUGAGAAGCUUUUUCUAUUCUCACAUGAACUUCUAUAUUCAAUUUCACUCAUUAUUUGCAUCAAUCUGCAUGCUUUUUGCCCUGAAUCUGGUGGGAUUUGGUUUGUUGCAGCCUAAUGGGUUGUAUGCGAGGCAGGUUUCCCUUUCUUUCAACAAUUUUAUUUAUUUAUUUGGUUUUUUCUUGGAAAAUUUAUGAGAAAUUCUGUGAGUGUAGAUAAAAUUGCUAUUUAUGUAGACAAUGGCACGAUUACUCUGGAGGAGCAAGGAUUGUUAAGUGAAGGUUCUGUUGAAUAUGGGUCGCCUUCGAUUGCUAGGGUCACUAGUGGAGAAUCAUCAUCAACACUGUAGAGGAAGAAUAAGAAGAAGAUGAAAAAGAAGUUCGCAUCCUUGCAAUCAUCGUCUAAUUCGUCUAAAAGCGCAGCAACCUUAGGUGAAUUGGACCUUGAGGAGCGGAGAAAUUCAGUGAAGUCAUGUGGGAACCAGUUGCUUUGCAUCUGAUCUAGAGAUAUUUGAGAUAAUGGAGAAGGAAAGAGAGAGGCAGUAUAGGGCUCUUGAAUUGAUAGCUUCAGAGAAUUUUCUUUCCCUUCAUUCUUUCUUUCCCUUCCUUCUUUGCCCUCUAAUUCCUCUUCUUUAUUCUUCUUUUUCUUUAACAGAAUUAUUCCUUUCAGAGAAUGGAAACGAUUUUGAUCUCUGAUCUGAAUCAAGCGAUUGCAGCAUCACCCCUACUUCAACAACCCAGCCCUUUCCAAGGUAAAGUAGUAGGUCAUGAUCGGUGAAGUGAAUGAUCAACCAUUGUGUAAGUGCGCUGUUAUUUUCGUACCCACCAUCUCCUGAUCCUUUUGAUGAACCAAUAGAACUGCCCAAUUUUUUUUGGGUACUUUUGCAGAAUGUUCAAUUACUACAGCAUUAUCUGGAAAUAGUUUUUCCAACAUCCUUGAGAAAGGAAGGCAGGGUGAUCUUUAAUCC